rnacentral:rRNA from 1 species
AUGGGGCUUUGUCUGGCGACUCCGGCCGACGACGGAUGGUUAGAGGAACGGGGAGGAGGUGAACCUGCGGUGGAAGAUGGAUGCACCACCCGUGUUGCCCAGGGAGCGCGACACGGGUCAUGCAAACAACCAUUUUGCUGCUCUAGAAGGUGGGGGAAACUGGAGCAUGUCUUAGAGAGGGGAGACCGUGCAAUGGGAGCAACUGUACAGGGUCUCCAGAGCACAUACCUCAUCGAGGAUCAUCAGACCUCCAAAUCAAAACCUCCUAGCAAAAUUUUUUCUAGAAGCCGGAGAAAUGUUGUAACAGUCUGUUGGAUAAUACGAGACGUGCAUGUUUUCAUUAAGUCACAAUUCCUGAUGGUUCCCAAUCCUAAGAUGCAUGAAGGUCCUCAGACCACCCAACGAAGGCGCGCUCGCCAGAGCGAGUUGAGGGUGCGCCGCCGCCUCUGCCGCUCCUCCCGGAGCAAGCACCAUUGUGUUGACAGCCAUGAUGAGAGCCUCCCCUACAAGCACACCAAGACCCAGCCUCUAUGCUGCCGAUGGGAAAGUCGUUGGCGCCACAACGGAGAGGGAGGGGAAGCCAACACUCGCAUCACGGAGUCGCCGCCCAAUCACUUGAGUGCAAAAAAAGACCUAAGCAACGGAGCAAUCUGCAAAAAGCUGUCGAGCCCUAGCUAG